rnacentral:rRNA from 1 species
UACGAAGGGGGCUAGCGUUGCUCGGAAUCACUGGGCGUAAAGCGCACGUAGGCGGACUCUUAAGUCGGUGGUGAAAUCCUGGAGCUCAACUCCAGAACUGCCUUCGAUACUGAGAGUCUCGAGUCCGAGAGAGGUGAGUGGAACUGCGAGUGUAGAGGUGAAAUUCGUAGAUAUUCGCAAGAACACCAGUGGCGAAGGCGGCUCACUGGCUCGGUACUGACGCUGAG